UCCUCAGAUGGUCUUCCUUGAGGCAUCCACAUCUGUUGUCAGUGAGGAUAGCCUGGUUGCUCCAGGUGCUUGUGAUCAGAGGUUCAGAGGACUCAGGGCUGAGCCAUGGCAAACAAGCACCAUCAGAAGGUAUUAGGGUGUCUGACUACCCCAAGAAGUUCAAGCUUGAAGCUAGCUCCACUCCCGAGGGCUUUUGACACAUCCUGGGAGAUGAGGGAACCUGGGCCACUGGAUGCCAUCAACCUCACCACCAAGCCGGUUGCCUCCUACUUCGAGGACUACACAGUGUCAAACCCAUAGCGACCAUGGCGCAGGACAUGGGUGUACAGGGAUGUGCAGCACAGCUUCAAAAGGCAGUGCGGGCCCCAGUACCCAGGAACUUGCCCAACCACACUGAGUCUGAAAAUGAAAUACACAGCCUCCAGCGACUGGAUGAAAACACACAAUAACUCCUUUCUCUCAAGGAGAGUUUCAAGAGACUUCAGCUUGGGUUGCCCAAGUCAUUUGACUGGAAGAUUUGUCUAUGUGCACUAAAGGAGAAUCUGGCCCUACUGUGUGUACCUGGACCUUUUGGGUUUGACUCUUGAUUUGCUUUUUUGGGUGUUCACUGGCCUGAGGACUGCUGUGUGUGGUGGCUGUAAAUAAAUGGAGCUUGACUUCAAAAAAAAAAAAAAA